ACUGUUUAAUUAAAACAAAGCAUUGCGAUGGUCCCUAUAGAUGCUGACGUAAUGUGAUUUAUGCUCAGUGCUCUACAUGUCAAAGUGAAGAAAUUCAACCAAGCACAGGUAAGCGACGAGAGUAACUAUGUCUCUCUUAAGGUAGUUAGAUGCCUCUUCAUCUAAUUAGUGACACGCAUGAAUGGAUUAACGAGAUUCCCAUUGUCCCUAGCUACUAUCUAGAGAAACCAAAACCAAGGGAACGAGCUUGGAAUAAUUAGUGAGAAAAGAAGACCCUGUUGAGCUUGACUCUAGUUUGACUUUGGAAAAUGAUUUGAGAGGUGUAGAAUAAGUGGGAGUUGUUUUCAGUGCAAGUGAAAUACCACUAUUUUUAACAUUAUUUUACUUAUUCCAUGGCGCAGAGAUGGGGCAUUACACAUAUGUUAAAAUAUAACACGCAUUUCCUCAAAGUGUUGUCAUUGAUGGCAAUGGUCGAGAGCCCAUUCUUCAUGCACUUGAUGGCAAUGAGUUUAGGAAACCCAAGAGGAUCAUUGCUUUUAAGGAUGAAUAAAGUUCCUACAAUCCCUAUUUUUUUAUCCAACAUCCCCCUAU
rfam:Picea glauca, whole genome shotgun sequence.